rnacentral:rRNA from 1 species
UUAUUCCAGUUUCAAUAGCGUAUAUUAAAGUUGUUGCAGUUAAAAAGCUCGUAGUUGGAUAUCUGGUGGGAGCAAUGGGUCUCGCACUCUGUGCGGGUACUUCAAUUGACUCCGGCCAUCCUUGGGGAGAGCCUGUGUGGCAUUAGGUUGUCGUGCAGGGGAUCCCCAUCGUUUACUGUGAAAAAAUUAGAGUGUUCAAAGCAGGCUUAUGCCGUUGAAUAUAUUAGCAUGGAAUAAUAAGAUAGGACUCCGGUACUAUUUUGUUGGUUUGCGCGCCGAAGUAAUGAUUAAUAGGAACAGUCGGGGGUAUUCAUAUUCCGUUGUCAGAGGUGAAAUUCUUGGAUUUACGGAAGAUGAACUACUGCGAAAGCAUUUACCAAGGAUGUUUUCAUUAAUCAAGAACGAAAGUUGGRGGAUCGAAGAUGAUUAGAUACANUCGUAGUCA